CCACAGAGUAUGAAUCCACCAAUAUCUCUUGUUAUAGGCGACAGGGACAAGUGUGUAUAUCUCGCCUGAGCAGGUAGUCGGGAUGCAGGUAAAAGCACAUACGAGGACUUCACACAUGAGUUACUGGGGGGGCCCGGCGGGGACCACCAUCAUUCAGGCCCAUCGGAGCGGUAGAUCCGAGUCUAAAAAUCCACCUCCUCUCAGCUGACCUUCUCUGGACCAGAGUCCAACCUAGAUUGGUCUCCAGGCCAGAGAGGGAAAAGCUAGAGUUAUCAUGCAUGGCAAAGUGGGCGUAUAAUAAUUUCGUAACCGUCCCCCUCUGAAUAUGAUAGAUGUGCUGAUAAAGUCUCUGCUUUAAAGUGGCACCUGUUUCACCCACAUAGAUGGCUCUGCAUUUGCUGCAUUGGAUGGCAUAGACAACGUUGGUAGAAAGCAGCGAGAAGGUCUGCCAGAUGGGGGCGCCAGAUUGUAAAUUGUAGAUAUACUUUAGAGAAGUUGGCCCGGUCAGAUGGGAAGAGAGCGGCUACUUCCUGUUUGAUGGUACGGAGAAAGCGUCUGGAGUACCCGCGGGGUCUAAGGGCCUCAAAGAGGGUCCUUGUAGCCUCCUCUACAUG